rnacentral:rRNA from 1 species
GACGAACGCUGGCGGCGUGCUUAACACAUGCAAGUCGAACGGAAAGGCCCUGCUUUUGUGGGGUGCUCGAGUGGCGAACGGGUGAGUAACACGUGAGUAACCUGCCCUUGACUUUGGGAUAACUUCAGGAAACUGGGGCUAAUACCGGAUAGGAGCUCCUGCUGCAUGGUGGGGGUUGGAAAGUUUCGGCGGUUGGGGAUGGACUCGCGGCUUAUCAGCUUGUUGGUGGGGUAGUGGCUUACCAAGGCUUUGACGGGUAGCCGGCCUGAGAGGGUGACCGGCCACAUUGGGACUGAGAUACGGCCCAGACUCCUACGGGAGGCGGCAGUGGGGAAUAUUGCACAAUGGGCGGAAGCCUGAUGCAGCAACGCCACGUGCGGGAUGACGGCCUUCGGGUUGUAAACCGCUUUCGCCUGUGACGAAGCGUGAGUGACGGUAAUGGGUAAAGAAGCACCGGCUAACUACGUG